rnacentral:rRNA from 1 species
AAUGGGCGAAAGCCUGACGGAGCAAUACCGCGUGAGGGAGGAAGGCUCUUGGGUCGUAAACCUCUUUUCUCAGGGAAGAACACAAUGACGGUACCUGAGGAAUAAGCAUCGGCUAACUCCGUGCCAGCAGCCGCGGUAAUACGGAGGAUGCAAGCGUUAUCCGGAAUGAUUGGGCGUAAAGCGUCCGCAGGUGGCUAUGUAAGUCUGCUGUUAAAGCGUCUAGCUCAACUAGAUAAGAGCAGUGGAAACUACAAGGCUAGAGUGCGUUCGGGGCAGAGGGAAUUCCUGGUGUAGCGGUGAAAUGCGUAGAGAUCAGGAAGAACACCGGUGGCGAAGGCGCUCUGCUAGGCCGCAACUGACACUGAGGGACGAAAGCUAGGGGAGCGAAUGGGAUUAGAUACCCC